GGAUCGGCCUCGAUGGAUGAUGGCGGCCCUGGUGGUGGUGGAAGGCGCGUGGUAGGCUCGGAGGAGAGGGUGACGCGCUACACCCUCCUGCUCGGUUGCUUGCUUCCUCCGUCUUGCGCCGGCCCUCGUUGAUCGCGCCGUCGUGCUGCGGGACCGCACGUGCUUCGCCUUCGUGACGAUGACGCAUGAGCGCAUCGUCUCUCAUCCAACGCUGGCGCGAGGUCGAUGGCCAUCGGACCCACACAGCCAUGCCCAGUUAGCCUCGACCUCCCUUGCAUACGUUUCCCGAGCUUAGGAGGCCCUGCCAGGCUGCCACAGAGGGCCGCCGCCAUCUGCUAUCGCUGCGACCGUCGUCUCGGCUGCCCGCGCCACCGUGCGCUCCCUGUCCUGCGUCCGUGACAGCGCCCCCUGGAAGGUGAACAUUGGAAGCUCCUGUUUUUAAUGAAGCCAAUAAGGAUGUAAUUUAAAGAACAUCUGCAUGUUUUGCGAGGGAGGGAGGACUGACUGUCUACUUUAGGAGUUGUGCAGUGUGGGAACUCUGCUAACUUGGCAUGGUCGUGGAACGCUCUCUGAAUGCCGUCCUCUGUCCUCUCCAAAUUGCUCAUGACCGAUGCUUGGAUGGAGCUUUUUGAGAAGAUAGCGUGAGAGUCCUGGUUUGUGGGUGCAGAAAUUAAGAUUGUCUGGGAAGAUGAAGUGCUUCUAGAUCGAAUCGUAGAACAUAUUGAAUAUGAACUACUUGGAAUUUUGCUCUAACCUAUUAAUACUAUAUGACUUGUAUUUCCUAAAAAAUAUCGGAGUUGUGUUCCUUAUGACCUUAGCUACCAGGUCUGUUGUUUCGAUCUUUGUUCCAGGGGAGGAAUUAGAGGCUUUUCUACAAGCUCCUCAUUGACAAUGUCGAGGAAUUACUUCCUGUAGUGUACACACCAAUUGUUGUGAGGCUAGCCAAAAGUAUGAUUCCAUAUUUAGUCGUUAUCAGGGUCUUUAUAUUAUCAGCUUUCAGGAGAAGUUGGCAAGGUGUCCAUGUUCACAAGUGUUUUACUUGGCUGUGGAGGGGAAUGAUCAUUCAGGUGCUCAAGAUCUGGCCAGAGAGGAGCAUUCAAGUUAUCGUUGUUACUGACGUAUGACGGUGAACGGAUCUUGGAUGUCAGGGGUUGGGGAUCCCUGUUGGCAAGCUUGCACUUUACACUGCCCUAGGAGGAGUUCAUCCAUCUGCUUGCUUGUCAAUCACAUCGGAUGCCGGCACAAAUAAAUGAGGAGCUACUUACUGAUGAAAUGGAUUUUACAUGGGCUUGAGGCAUAGAAGGGCCAUGGGCCAGGCUUUGCAAUGAGGGGAACAGGAGUGAGCCUUGUGAAUCACAUCUAGGAGGAAUAAGCAAUCAUGCAGCAAGAGGAGUUCAUAUUAGAGUUUAGGAAGCCACCUACAGUGGGUGCCAGUGCUACAACAUGGAAGACAUUGGCUGCUUCAAGAGCAGUGAAGAAACUCUUGAGUCAUGUCAACACCCUCUUAAGAUUAUUAUUCUGAAGAUUUUGAAUAGCUAGGCACCUGAUACAAUAUCCUUGUUAUGUCACUUGUUACCAAUGAGGAAUGGGGGUUCCUGUACACAAUGACAGGUACGCGAACUGCAAGUUUCUAUAUCUAUUUUGCUAUUUAUCUUCUAUUAAAAGGAAUUGAACAUUCAGAUGAUAGAUAUUGGAUCAUGACCAUUUUACAUGAGACUGCUUGUAUUAGCUUGUGUAUUGGCUGAGCCUACAUGGCCUGAAAAUUCCAAGAGGAGGCAACUUUUUAGGUACUGGUUCUGUAAAGUUGAAAAAAAAUAAAAGUAUUCUGCACGGUUUAGUCCGUAACAUUCAUGUUAUAUUUUCCAGAAAAACUUUUAUGGACCUUGACCCCGUUGCUGUCUCUAAAAUAAAUUAGAAGAAGCUUGUCGCCCUGGAAGCGUUGC